UCCCUGGUGGCUCAGAUGGUAAAGCAUCCGUCUGCAAUGCAGGAGACCUGGGUUCGAUUCCUGGGUGGGGAG
rfam:TPA: Bos taurus chromosome 3, whole genome shotgun sequence.